GAUGAACGCUGACAGAAUGCUUAACACAUGCAAGUCUUUGGCGAAGCUGUGCUUGCACAGCCUAGCCAAGGCGGACGGGUGAGUAACGCGUAAGGAACUUGCCCUGCAGUCAGGGAUAACAGACGGAAACGACUGAUAAAACCUGGUAAAGUCAGGCGGACUCAUGUCCAGCCUGAUGAAAAGAGAUGCUGCAGGAGAGCCUUGCGUCCUAUUAGCUUGUUGGUGGGGUAACGGCCCACCAAGGCGAUGAUAGGUAGCCGGCCUGAGAGGGUGGACGGCCACAAGGGGACUGAGAUACGGCCCUUACUCCUACGGGAGGCAGCAGUGGGGAAUAGUGGACAAUGGGGGCAACCCUGAUCCAGCAAUUCUGUGUGCACGAUGAAGGUUUUCGGAGUGUAAAGUGCUUUCAGCAGGGAAGAAAAAAAUGACGGUACCUGCAGAAGAAGCGACGGCUAAAUACGUG
rnacentral:rRNA from 1 species